AGUCGAGCGGUAACAUUUCUAGCUUGCUAGAAGAUGACGAGCGGCGGACGGGUGAGUAACGCGUAGGAAUCUACCUAUUGGUGGGGGAUAGCCCAGGGAAACUUGGAUUAAUACCGCAUAAGCUAUUAGGAGGAAAGCGGGGGAUCUUCGGACCUCGUGCCAAUAGAUGAGCCUGCGUAAGAUUAGCUAGAUGGUGGGGUAAUGGCCUACCAUGGCGACGAUCUUUAGCUGGUCUGAGAGGAUGAUCAGCCACACUGGGACUGAGACACGGCCCAGACUCCUACGGGAGGCAGCAGUGGGGAAUAUUGCACAAUGGGCGCAAGCCUGAUGCAGCCAUGCCGCGUGUGUGAAGAAGGCCUUAGGGUUGUAAAGCACUUUCAGUGGGGAGGAAAGGUUAUAAGUUAAUACCUUAUAGCUGUGACGUUACCCACAGAAGAAGGACCGGCUAAUUCCGUGCCAGCAGCCGCGGUAAUACGGAAGGUCCGAGCGUUAAUCGGAAUUACUGGGCGUAAAGCGCACGUAGGCGGCUAGGUCAGUUGGGUGUGAAAGCCCCGGGCUCAACCUGGGAACUGCAUCCAAUACUGCCUGGCUAGAGUACGAGAGAGGGGGGUAGAAUUUCUAGUGUAGCGGUGAAAUGCGUAGAUAUUAGAAGGAAUACCAGUGGCGAA
rnacentral:rRNA from 1 species